GAUUAACGCUAGCGGCAGGCAUAAUACAUGCAAGUUGAACGGGAUUAGUUGUAGCAAUAUGACUAUGAGAGUAGCGCACGGGUGCGUAACGCGUAUGCAACCUGCCUCGAACUGGGGAAUAGCGCCUCGAAAGAGGGAUUAAUACCGCAUAAAAUAGUGAAUAGGCAUCUAUUUACUAUUAAAACUACGGUGGUUGGAGAUGGGCAUGCGUGACAUUAGCUAGUUGGUAGGGUAAUGGCCUACCAAGGCUACGAUGUCUAGGGGGUCUGAGAGGAUGUCUCCCCACACUGGUACUGAGAUACGGACCAGACUCCUACGGGAGGCAGCAGUAGGGAAUAUUGGUCAAUGGAGGCAACUCUGAACCAGCCAUGCCGCGUGCAGGAUGACGGCCCUAUGGGUUGUAAACUGCUUUUGUACGGGAAGAAACCUCAUUACGUGUAAUGAGUUGACGGUACCGUGAGAAUAAGGAUCGGCUAACUUCGUGCCAGCCGCCGCCGUAA
rnacentral:rRNA from 1 species